CCUACGGGGGGCAGCAGUGAGGAAUAUUGGUCAAUGGACGAGAGUCUGAACCAGCGAAGUAGCGUGAAGGAUGACUGCUCUAUGGGUUGUAAACUUCUUUUAUAUGGGAAUAAAACGUUCCACGUGUGGGAUUUUGUAUGUACCAUAUGAAUAAGGAUCGGCUAACUCCGAGCCAGCAGCCACGGUAAUACGGAGGAUCCGAGCGUUAUCCGGAUUUAUUGGGUUUAAAGGGAGCGUAGGUGGAUUGUUAAGUCAGUUGUGAAAGUUUGCGGCUCAACCGUAAAAUUGCAGUUGAAACUGGCAGUCUUGAGUGCAGUAGAGGUGAGCGGAAUUCGUGGUGUAGCGGUGAAAUGCUUAGAUAUCACGAAGAACUCGGAUUGCGAAGGCAGUUCACUGGACUGCAACUGACACUGAGGCUCGAAAGUGUGGGUAUCAAACAGGAUUAGAUACCCCAGUAGUC
rnacentral:rRNA from 1 species